GUUAGAACCGUGGGGAUAUGAGGGGCACCAUCACCGAGGAAACAGCCAGGGCCAACUCGGCAAGUACUGCUGCCAGGACUCCUGGAGCAAAAAGGUCCGGAAGUAAGGGCACCACCUGUUAGAUCAUGCCCUGUAGCCCCGUGAUCGCGCAGAUGUAGAGACCUGGAGUUGGCUUUUUGUUGCUGAGGACAUAGCCUUUGAAAGAAUAAAGGAUAUGGGCAAGGUCACAUAGUAACUGUGGAAAUAUGCCAAGAAAUCAACUGAGGAUAAGAAAGGAAACAAGAAUAUUGGGGGCCAUACAAAUAGUGACUGGUCUGAUUUGUAACUGGCUGGGAGUGAUCUGGACAUAUUUGUUUACCACACAAAAGAUUGCAUUUGGAAAAGUCUAUCUUCCUGUGGUAGCAAUAACAGGAUAUCCAUACUGGGCAUCUCUGACUUUUCUUUCCUCGGGACUCCUUACAAUAAUGUUAGAGAAGAAUCAGUCAUGGAUCUUGGAAUAUUUGCCACAGAAGAAUAAGAUGAGAUUACUGUACAACAAUGAAUAACAAUUUAGAUAAACAUAUGAUGUAUCCAGUGAGGUGUCCUAUGCUAUAGCAGUGAAUAUCAUAAGUGCCAGCAUUGCAAUAUUUGGUCUACUUUUACUAUCAUUUGAAUUUCUCACAUUCAAUUUAAAUUCAACUGCUGUUCUUUGGUCCCAGACAAGUGGUAAAAUGCUUUCACAGUAUUUGUUCAUAUUCAUCACCUUGGAAUUGAUUGUUGCAUGUAUAGUGACCCAUUGGGCAUGCAAAGCAAAAUAUAGAAGAUAAUAAAGAUGUGGUACAUGGAAGAAUGUGAUUCUUAUCCUACAUAUGAAAGAACCAUCAUGACCUCAAUCAAAAGGGAAAGUUUAAUGACGAAUGAAGAACUUCACUUUGUUCAAGAGGCUUCUGCAAAAAAUGCAUAUUAAGUCCAUCUCAGUAUUUCCUUUCCCUCAUUAAUAAAAAUUUAAAUGGAUAA